UUCGUUGACUAGGCUCUCUACGUCAGUGUUGGCGAACCUUUUCAGUUCGUGAACCUCGGUUAUAAAGUACCCCUCUAGGGUCCAGAAAAUGAGUACUCUAUAAGCUAUAAAAAAACACCAAAAUGUAGAAGCUGCGUCAUUAAGCUAAAUUACCCCGCUUUCAACCCAUCCGAAGUUCCACCAUGCUUUCCGCGGCGACGACGGAGCCGGCAUCAUAUUUUCUUCCUCCAUCGAGAGAGAGAAGAACGAAUAAAAGCAGUCUUCCGUUCGUUGUGAGAAAAAAAAAAACGGCGAAGUCAAUAACGACUUCUCAAUCGAAACUCUGUCUCGGUUAGGCGGGACCGAUUUGGAUUUUGCAGUGCGGAGUAGAGACGUCGUCCCUAUUCACAAGCGCUUUUACGUCGACAGCUACUCGACGAAAAAUGGAACAAUUUACGUGGUAGGUUGAAAUGUCUACGUGCUUUUUCAAAAAUAGAAAAGAACGCAACUGAAAUCUCCCAAGAAAAGUAGAUUUCGCGUUUUGCAUAUAGACUGCGCUUGUCUGCAAAUAUUAUACACGUUAUACCGUUGCCUGACUGGUUUCAAAUGGAUACUAUGCAUUUGUAUUGCGAAAAAUGUUUUUCUCCCCCCUACCCAAAUAUGCCUAAUUAUGUAUAUUAAUAAACUUCUUCAGUCACUCCGCUGACUACGUCGCGUACUUGUUGCAUAAUAUUUUUUUUGUCUGAUUUUAUUACGAAGUUUAACAAACUGCACAUUUCCUUUUUUGGAUUGCCGUAUUUUUUGAUGGUGUCAAUUUUUGCGACAAAUCUUAACAAGCACUUUUCAAAUAUAAAUCUUAACGCAUGUACUUAUUAUUUUUUU